UGAGUAACCUGCCCUUAACUCUGGGAUAAGCCUGGGAAACUGGGUCUAAUACCGGAUAUGACCUUGGAUGCAUGUCCUGUGGUGGAAAGCUUUUGCGGUGUGGGAUGGGCCCGCGGCCUAUCAGCUUGUUGGUAAGGUUACGGCUCACCAAGGCGUCGACGGGUAGCCGGCCUGAGAGGGUGUCCGGCCACACUGGGACUGAGAUACGGCCCAGACUCCUACGGGAGCAG
rnacentral:rRNA from 1 species